rnacentral:rRNA from 1 species
GGAGGGAAUCUUCGGCAAUGGACGAAAGUCUGACCGAGCAACGCCGCGUGAGUGAAGAAGGUUUUCGGAUCGUAAAACUCUGUUGGUAGAGAAGAACGUUGGUGAGAGUGGAAAGCUCAUCAAGUGACGGUAACUACCCAGAAAGGGACGGCUAACUACGUGCCAC